GGGGUAGUGGUUGCAGUGGCCAGACUAAAGAGGAAGUUUCAGAGUUCACAACCGCAAGGACCUAAGUGAUGGAAGGACACAAGAAGUCAGUAAAAUCUUGCUUUAGAGUGGAUUUGUAUUUUCAGAUGGAGCCACAGCUCCUCCAUCGCAGUAUAGAUAAUUUUUCUUUGUUUUUUUUCACGGUAUUGAUAAAAGGAAAGCUAGUAAUUUCUCCAGGUUUUUGUUUCUCAAUCAUGUGAUCUGUAUGUUAAGUGUAUGGUAACCAAAUUUAU
rnacentral:misc_RNA from 1 species